AUCGGAGAGUUCCCUUCGGGGACAUUGGUGACAGGUGGUGCAUGGUUGUCGUCAGCUCGUGUCGUGAGAUGUUGGGUUAAGUCCCGCAACGAGCGCAACCCUUGUCUUUAGUUGCCAUCAUUAAGUUUGGCACUCUAGAGAGACUGCCAGGGAUAACCUGGAGGAAGGUGGGGAUGACGUCAAAUCAUCAUGCCCCUUAUGCUUAGGGCUACACACGUGCUACAAUGGGUAGUACAGAGGGUUGCCAA
rnacentral:rRNA from 1 species